UCUGAAGAUGCAGUAGGAUGGAAUGAGGAUACUCGAAGAAGAAGAGCACCAAGGUCCAAGCACGACCAGGCAAAAUUGGUCCUCUUUGGUCCUUGCUCUAUUCUCGUUACACGGCAUUGAGCAAAGAGGGGUAGCUGUAAGGCCCAAUAUUUGCCCGGGCCCGCAAACCAAAGAUCAAACAAAAAAUAAUACAAAAAAAAACAAAACAAAUACCAUAGUUUAUUAAACAGUCCCGAUUACAAACCAAAGCCCAAACCAAAGUCCCACUUAGCCUAAACCCAAUUAACCUUAUCCCAAACACUAAACCCAAAC
rnacentral:lncRNA from 1 species